CCUACGGGGGGCUGCAGUGGGGAAUAUUGGACAAUGGGCGAAAGCCUGAUCCAGCCAUGCCGCGUGUGUGAAGAAGGCCUUCGGGUUGUAAAGCACUUUCAGUGGGGAAGAAAGCCUUGGGGCUAAUACCCUCGAGGAAGGACAUCACCCACAGAAGAAGCACCGGCUAACUCCGUGCCAGCAGCCGCGGUAAUACGGAGGGUGCGAGCGUUAAUCGGAAUUACUGGGCGUAAAGCGCGCGUAGGCGGUCUGAUAAGCCGGUUGUGAAAGCCCCGGGCUCAACCUGGGAACGGCAUCCGGAACUGUCAGGCUAGAGUUCAGGAGAGGAAGGUAGAAUUCCCGGUGUAGCGGUGAAAUGCGUAGAGAUCGGGAGGAAUACCAGUGGCGAAGGCGGCCUUCUGGACUGACACUGACGCUGAUGUGCGAAAGCGUGGGUAGCAAACAGGAUUAGAUACCCCAGUAGUC
rnacentral:rRNA from 1 species